UACGGAGGAUGCAAGCGUUAUCCGGAUUCAUUGGGUUUAAAGGGUGCGUAGGCGGAAUAUUAAGUCAGUGGUGAAAUCCUGCAGCUUAACUGUAGAACUGUCAUUGAUACUGGUAUUCUUGAAUGCAGUUGAGGUAGGCGGAAUGUGUAAUGUAGCGGUGAAAUGCUUAGAUAUUACACAGAACACCGAUUGCGAAGGCAGCUUACUAAACUGUGAUUGACGCUGAGGCACGAAAGCGUGGGGAGCAAACAGGAUUAGAUACCCUGGUAGUCCACGCCGUAAACUAUGAUCACUCGCUGUUGGCGAUAAAUUGUCAGCGGCUGAGCGAAAGCAUUAAGUGAUCCACCUGGGGAGUACGAUCGCAAGGUUGAA
rnacentral:rRNA from 1 species